UUUUUUUUUUUUUUAGUACUUUAUUACUUAUUUAACAAAUAUUUUUAAGAGGCUAUUAUGCCAGGCACUAUUGUAGGGGUUGAAAUAUACCAUCGAAAAGAUAGACAAAACUAUCUUAUUUUCUGGCAUUUACACUUUAUUUGGCCAUACAGACAUUAAAAAAACAUAAAUGAAAGCAACAUAUAUGAAAUAAUUACAGGUGCUUGGGAGGAAAUCAAUACCAGGAAGGGAAAAGUAUCUGAGAUGAAGAAAAGGAAAAAAAUAAAAAAGAAAGGAGUUCCCGUCGUGGCACAGUGGUUAACGAAUCCAGCUAGGAGCCAUGAGGAACUCCCUGUUCUUAUUUUUAAUUCAUGAAUUUUCUCCAAACUUCAUUUUAUUGUCUCUGUCAACUUUUUUUUUCUACCCCAAACUUCCCUCUUACUAUUGUGUCAGAAGCUGGACAUGAGUCCUGCUCUUAGUGUUACAAGAGGUGAGAGAUGGGGGCUGCUGAGUGCUUAUAAAGCUGAAUCGCAACCCUGUGUAUACACUAAGAUGUUGGCUCUAAAUACAUAUCAAGCAAUUCUGCAUUGUUCAGACACCAUGUCAGUCUUAAUGGAGAAGCUUUCAUAACUAAAGAUGCUAGGAUACUUAGAAAUUGUGGGCUCACCAAAGAAAAAAAGGCAAAAACUUAAAAGAGACAGACGUUCAAGUUUGAGUAGCAAGUAAUGUGUCUGCUGGAAGAAUACAAAUGUCCUCCACUCUAGUUUCUCAACGUGAAUAAGGUAGUAUAAUUCAAAUUCAUUCAGAUUAUGUAAGGUACUGCAGAAGUGCUAUUAUAGUCAGCAGCAACAGUAUUCCAAAGAGAGGCAAUUAGACUUCAAUAGAUUUAAAGUUUAGGGCUCAUUAUAUAUGAUAUUUUUCAGCUGGCACACACAUUGAAGUUUUCACGAAAGAGCUGCAUAAAACAAGAGAUACUGUUUGAGCUCCACUGAUCAUUGAAGAAUGCUGACUGCCAAGCUGCCAAUUGUGUUCUGAAAGAAUAGACAUAUCAACCACUGAAUCAAACAGCUGUGAAGCUCCCACCUGCCACCAGUGAGUAAUCAAGAAACAACCGAAAGACAUACCUUUGGAAAGUCAGAAUAAAGUGUGUUAGGAAGCACUGUGUUGCUAUAAAACUUACACUUUUUGUAGGUCUCACCAGGCAUGUCAUGACUCAAAGCAGUAUACUCUAAAGCUGAAUCUUUCUCUAACAGAAAAGCAGGAAGUUGAAAAAAAAUUGUGUUUGCAGAUUCUACCCAGUUACAGUUCCAUGUUAUCAAACAAAUACUCUCUUAAUUGAACUAUAUAUCAUGGGUUAUUGCUAUCCUGAGGAAGGUAAUAUGUUCAUCCAAUAUAAAGUUAUGAGAAGAUUCAUAAUGUUUUAUAAAACACAUUAAACGUCAGAUAACCAUAAGAUGGGAUCAAGAUGGUAGAAGAGUAUGAUAUGGAGCACACCUCCUGCCACAAAAACAUUAAAAAUACAUCUGUAAGUGGAACAAUUCACACAGAACAUACACUGAACACAGACAGAGGACCUCAGACUUCUGCAAGGGCAAGAAAGUCUCUGUGUUACUGGGUAGGACAAAAGGAAAAAGAAAAAUAGAGAGAAAGGAAUAAGGAUAAGGCCUUUGCCCCAGAGAAGGAGCUGCGAAGGCAGAAAACUUUCCACACCCUGGGAAGUCCCUUCACUAGUGGGGAGAACAGCCUGGACAGACGGAGUACUUCAGACAUUAGGAGAACACAGCAACUGGUUUGUGGAAGGCACUACCACCCUGAGCUCUCCAGCCUGAGAUGUUCAUCCACAAGUGCUGGUUGGGGGUGGGUGCUGAAGCUCAGGAUUUAGAGAUCAGACACAAAGAGAUGAUCAAGAUUGGCUACAUGGAGACAACCUAAAUUGGCUGAACUAUGACAACUUUCCGGUAUACAUGGAAGAAGCCUGGGCCUGCCAGAGAGGCAAGGUGCCAAUAUUGCAGCUGGGGUGUGAGGAGAGGGGCAGGCCCACCAUAAGAGCUUCCUUCCCACUGAGAACUCUCAGGCAACAAAACACUGCCUACAGAAGCUUUGGAGGCAUGCAUGAUUCAAUGCUGCCUCUAUGGGAUCCAGAGGCAGAUUCAGACCACCAAUGCCCCUAAAAGACCUGCAAGCAGGCAUCAAGCACUGCCUCUUGCUGUCCUGGGAGUGUGCAGACUGCCACCACCCCUAAGAGACCCAUAAGAAGGCAUCAAGUACUGUCCCCACCAUCCCAGGAAUGCACAAGGGCCACUGCACCUAUACACCCCAUAUUAAGGGGAUAAAAUCAAGCACAUAAUCACAACUAACUGAUUAAAAUAUCAUUGGAAAGAAAAAAGACCAGAAAUAAUUAUAAUGUAGAGGUAUACCCACAGGAGUGAGAGUUCUGAGUCCCAUGUCAGGCUAUCCAGCCUGGGAGGCUUUUAUUGGGAAGAAACCCAGAGCAUUUGGUUUUGAAAGCCAGUGUGGGCUUGAGUGCAGGAGCACCACAGAACUGGCAGAAAUAGACUCCACUCUUCAAGGGAUCACACAGGUUUCCACCAUAAAUUAGUAACUCCAUAGGAACCUGGGGUAGAUCAAUCUGCGGGUUUUGGGACAUCUCCUGGGGAGGUGAGCAUCUUCUGUGGCUCCUUGUAGGGGCAAGGAUACUGGCAGCAGAGGCCACAAGGAAUAUUGAUUAGCAUGAGAUUUUCUGGAGUUCACAACUUUGGUACGAAGAUCUGGCCCUACCAAACAGUCUGCAAGCUCUAGUGCUAGCUAGGGAACUUUCAUACGCUAUGGGUGCAGCCCUGAAAACCCUGUUGCUGGUAGGAAUGUAAAAUGGUACAGCCACGUUGGAAGAGAGUUUGCCAGUUAAAGAUACACAUGCAAUAUGACCUAGCAGUCCCACUGCUAGAUGUAUUUCUAAGAGAAAAACCAAAAAUGAAAUUACAACAUGAUCCAGCAAUCCCACUCCUAGGCAUAUUCCCUGAGAAAACCAUAAUGUAAAAAGAUACAUGCAUCUGAAUGUACACAGUAGCACUAUUUAUAAGAGCCAAGACAUGUAAAUAACCUAAAUGUUCAUCAACACAGGAAUAGUUA
ensembl:lncRNA